GAGCCCCGCUGUCCAAUCAGCGCUGCCGACGCCCCAGCGAGCCCUCCAAUCAGCGAGCCGGGCGGGGAUUUAAAAUGGCGGCGGAAAGAGGAGCUCUUUGAAACUGUCCGAGCGAUCUCUGUGGAUGCGUGGCUUCUGCGGUCUGUUGUAGUGCGAAUGAGGAAGCUGUCUGUGCCAAGAAGGAAGAUGAGGAGGUGUGGGAGGAUGGAGCCAGCAGCCACUGAAGGCUGGGGGAGGCACAGUUCCAGGUCAGAGACGUUGCCUUCCAAGGAGAGGGACUUGUCCAUCCUGUUGGAAUUUGAGGCUUUAGGAAAGCCCCUCCAGCAUGGGAAGGUGCUUUUGGCUCCAGACAUGUUCCCAGUCCUCAGGAGCAGCUGGACCUGUGCCGUCCCCAGCAGGUGAAGCAGAGGUGCCCUCCCUCCCUCCCCUGCUGCAUUUUGGCUUUU
rnacentral:lncRNA from 12 species